rnacentral:rRNA from 1 species
GACGAACGCUGGCGGCGUGCUUAACACAUGCAAGUCGAACGGAAAGGCCCUGCUUUUGUGGGUUGCUCGAGUGGCGAACGGGUGAGUAACACGUGUGUAACCUGCCCUUGACUUUGGGAUAACUUCAGGAAACUGGGGCUAAUACCGGAUAGGAUCUCCUGCUGCAUGGUGGGGGUUGGAAAGUUUCGGUGGUUGGGGAUGGACUCGCGGCUUAUCAGCUUGUUGGUGAGGUAGUGGCUUACCAAGGCUUUGACGGGUAGCCGGCCUGAGAGGGUGACCGGCAACAUGGGGACUGAGAGACGGCCCAGACGCCUACGGGAGGCAGCAGUGGGGAGUAUUGCACAAUGGGCGGAAGCCAGAUGCAGCAACGCCGCGUGCGGGAUAACGGCCUUCGGGUUGUAAACCGCUUUCGCAGGUGACGAAGCGUGAGUGACGGUAAUGGGUAAAGAAGCACCGGCUAACUACGUG